rnacentral:lncRNA from 1 species
GAGAACUCGUUCCACAGCGAGAGCAGUAUAGAGAGUGAGGAGAAACAGCUGUCUGGCAGGGCCGUGGAGCCUGAAUCAGGAGAAUCCUUCGAUCCUCCACUAAGGAACCAGAAUCAGGGCUCUGAGAAAUCACGAGCCCGAGCUUACAGCAGAAUGAAGACUGCUUUUAUUCUCUUGUUCCUGUUGAAAAAUAACAACUCUGCCACCCACCCUUGUCUCCUAUUGCAAGAAGACCUCCAGAGUAAUUAAAUUCAACAGUUGAAAUGAUGUCAGCUUCCGCCACAUCCUCAUUGACUGCACCCUUCACCU